UGGGGAAUAUUGCGCAAUGGGCGAAAGCCUGACGCAGCGACGCCGCGUGAGGGAUGAAGGCCUUCGGGUUGUAAACCUCUUUCAGCAGGGACGAAAACAGACGGUACCUGCAGAAGAAGCACCGGCCAACUACGUGCCAUCAGCCGCGGUAAUACGUAGGGUGCAAGCGUUGGCCGGAAUUAUUGGGCGUAAAGAGCUCGUAGGCGGUUUGUCGCGUCGGCUGUGAAAACUCGGGGCUCAACCCCGAGCCUGCAGUCGAUACGGGCAGACUAGAGUGCUGUAGGGGAGACUGGAAUUCCUGGUGUAGCGGUGAAAUGCGCAGAUAUCAGGAGGAACACCGGUGGCGAAGGCGGGUCUCUGGGCAGUAACUGACGCUGAGGAGCGAAAGCGUGGGGAGCAAAC
rnacentral:rRNA from 1 species